ACCCAAGCAUCCCUCCUCUGUCCUGCAUCGUCUUCUGGGAUUCUAUCCAGGAAUCACGGGGGCUUCUUGAACCCUGGGACCCACACCCACCACAGGUUCUCUUCUCUCUGACAACAAACCCCAGGCCUUGUCCUAAUGGCUGCAGCCCACAGGCUCUGAACUCAGAUCCUUUUCUUCACUUGAGGGAGACGUGUCAUUCCCAGAGCUGGGCACACAGAGUGUCAGCCUUGGAGGAAAUGCCUCCCUGGCCAGUGGCUGGUGGAAGAGCGCCGUGACGGAGUAGGAUUUGGGGAGAGUCCUCCAGGUGUGGUCAGAAGGGGCCCAGCCAGGGCAUUUGUCAGCAAGGUCUGGUUGGUGGACCUUGGUGGCAAAAGAGUGGUGGGGGCAGCAUGUUUUAGAGGUCCUGGCAUGAGACAAUCCACAGGAUGGUCAUGAAGUCAGAAUCAGCCUAAUGAGGUCCAGCUCAAUUCACUGUCAUCUGUUCCCUGACUGGCUCACUAAUCCAGGAGUGAUUUACAAGGGCGAUAUUCAUGUUCUACCAUCUUUUCGUUGAUUGGCAGGAGCUAGUAUUCUUUACAAAACUUGUGUAUUUUUACAUAGGAAAGGAUAGGUGAGUUCUGUAACAACCCUUCUUGCAAAGUUCUCGCUAACGUAUUGAGUCUCUAACAGAAUCCACCGCUGGGAACUUCACAAAAGAUCCUGACCUUUACUCUCUGGUUUUAGAUCUUCCUGAUUGGUAAAUUUUCUUGACUCCUGGCUCCUUUCCUGAGGUUCGUCCACUUAGAACAAUGUAGGACUGCAACCUCUUGCCACUUGAGAAUGGAAUGCUCGGGUG